rnacentral:rRNA from 1 species
AUUGAACGCUGGCGGCAGGCCUAACACAUGCAAGUCGAGCGGAGCGGCGGACGGGUGCGUAAUACCUAGGAAUCUGACUGGUAGUGGUGGAUAACGUCCGGAAACGGGCGCUAAAACUGCAUCCUAUCAGAUGAGCCUAGGGCGGAUUAGGUAUUUGGUGGGUGAAAGGCCUACAAAGGCGACGAUCCGUAACUGGGCUGAGAGGAGGAUCAGUCACACUGGAACUGAGACACGGUCCAGACUCCUACGGUAGGCAGCAGUGGGGAAUAUUGGACAAUGGGCGAAAGCCUGAUCCAGCCAUGCCGCGUGUGUGAAGAAGGUCUUCGGAUUGUAAAGCACUUUAAGUGGGGAGGCGUUACCCGCAGAAUAAGCACCGGCUAACUCCGUGCCAGCAGCCGCGGUAAUAC